ACAGUCUCCCACAGGCCCCUCCUGACAGCAGGAGUUGCAGAUAUGAGCAUUAGCAGGCACUAAUGAGGACAUCUGAACUGGGUUAGUGGUGAUUUUUCAGCUGUUGAACCAAUCACCAGACUAUGAAAGCCGUGAGGUGGAUUAGCAAGGUAUUUUGCUUAACACUGAAGAGCAAGGGUGGCACUGCCUGUGGAUGGUCCUGGAGGAACUGCAGGGGAUUCCCUUUCUUGCUUCACAUCAUAGCAUGGUUCCUUGUGUUUGUCUCAUGAGAAAUAGAACAGCUCUGUUUGACUGAUACCCUACUUUUCUUUUGAGACUGUUUAAGGUCAACUGUAGCUGGAGCCAGAAAACUGCUUCUGGAAGAGAAGGGCAGAAUCAUUCUUUAUAACUGGAAUGCCGGGUGGGAAUCCUUCGGCCUCCAUCUGGAACAGCUUUGACCAAACAAAGGCCACAGAUCUGCCUGCACUACAGUUGGUGGGAAUACUGCCACAGAAUUCCUUGGGAGCAACAUUAGGCUUCGAUUAUGGUCACAGCAAGAGAGUAGUACAUGUACAGCUGCCAAAAAAUAUUAACAAAUAAUUCUAGAAAUGUUUGUCUCUUCUUUCCUUUCUUUUUAUUUUACUUUAAAGCAACUAACAGAAAAGCUUUUGCCUGUCAGGAAUGAGAAUUAUAAAACCUAAAACCAAAAUAUCAGGCCCCAGCUCCCUCUGCUUACAGAGAGACAGGUUAGGAAAGGCAUGGUUUGCAAAGUACUUUGAGCCACUGUCCCCUCUUCCAGAUGUAGGGUUGAGCCUUGACAGCCACCGGUGUUGCCCCCAGCACUCCCUGGGAAGUACGGCAUUGCUGAGUGCAGCAUGCCUUGGCCUUUCGCUCUCCUUGCACAAGGGCCCGUGCUGGGUCUGCUCAAGUUUGCUUCUUUUGUGGCCAGAUAUACUGCCGGAGUGAGCUCAGCAGCAUAAUAGCGUAAAAUGUAAAGGGCAGGGGCCAGAGAGCACUGGCACCUCUCAGAUAGCCCCUUCUCACCAGGGGCAUCUCGUCAUGCACUUGAUGCAUCUGCUCCCUGUUCUGUGCAUUAGCUCUGCUUGUGCCUUGUUUUAUGAGUGUUUCACAGCAUGAGUGCUCUGAACAGCUUUCUUAAGCUAUAAUCUUGAUGCUCUAGCUUUGCAAAUCAGGAUACCCUUAACAACGGGGAGAAGAGUAUAAAGCGGAAUUUGUGGAUGCUGAAUUGUUCCCUGCCUGAAACAAUUAAAUGUUUGGGCGGAGCCUAGACCUUUCUGGAUGCUAAUUGGAAUAGAAAUUAAUAUAUAGUACAGCAGGAAGAACUUACUGCAGAAAAUCUUUCCUGAAAACACAGUGUGGACAGAUUUAAUUCCACUAGAUUAAUUUAAAAGGGAAAAUGGCAUCAAUUAUGUUACAUAACUUCCUACAGUUAUGUGUUGGUAACAAAUGUAAAGUGUUACGCUCCUGAGGUCAGCAGAGUUUUUACCAUUAACUUAAAUGCAAGUACAAUAGGAUUUUUAAAAUGCUUUGUCUACAGACUUCCAUAAUUAUUCCUUUCCUGUGAGGCCUUUUAAGAAAGGACUAUAACAUAGAUUUUUCUUCUUUCAUAAAAAUUAAUUCAAGACGGUUAGAGAUGCCUCUUUCUUUGUAAUUUCUCUAGCUGUAUAAUCCAGGCUUUAAUGCUGACCACAGUGUGAGAGCUCAAGUCUGGAGUGCUUUGUAUUUUGUCCCAUGAUGUUUCUUUCCUGAACUACAAAGGAGAGGCCUUUCCCAAGGUGAAAAACCAGAAAUGUGGUCCUGCUAGUCUAAAGGCGGGUCAGAGUAGUCAGUGAGGUAUAAGGAGAAGAAAGCCAAAGGCCCUACUUGAUGCUGUCUUUUCUUAUUUUGACUGAAUGUUUUAUGUAGUUAGUGGGGAAAACAUAAGCGUAUAAACAGCUGUUGACACCAAAGAAUGCUUUCAUUUCUAAUUCUAUAAAAAGACCAUUCAGAAGCUAUAGAAAUUAGUGAGUAAUUUUUGAUUGCUCAGUAUCUUUACUUCCUCUCAGCCUAGGGAAAGUGAGUGUAAAACCAAAUCGACUUGACUUGCUAGGGUUUUUGCUUUGCAGUUGCAAAAAGUGGCACAAGCUUUGGAGCAAGUCAGAAUGUAGCUACAGCUCUCUUACAACCAAGAUUACUCAGGCCAGCUGUUAGGAGCCAGCAGGAAAUUGCUGUGGAUAUAGAAAUUAGUGAAUUGUUUUCUAAGUUUUUGGAAGUAUACUUUUUCCCACCUUGUGGGAAAGGGUAUGUUCACUCAUUCACUCCUCAUUCUCUAUACUUUCUCUAUACUUUCUCUAUACAUGCUCUAUACAGAGAAUUUAUUUUAUUUCUUUAUUUCUUAACUGAUCAAUCACUUGGCUUUGCAAAAAAUAAGGUUCUAUGAAACAUGAUGCCACAAAAAUAUGCUUACACAAGGGUAGUGAAGGGAGAAAACCUACAACCAAACUACUUGGUCUAGUAUAGUUUGCCAGCAUGCUGUAGGAUAUGAGGACUACCUAUGGUGUCUGAGGACAUCAAUGUGUAAUGUAGAAGUUUAAUGCUAUUCAGCUUCAUAUUAAGUAGAUGAGACAGAUUAGAGUAUGUGUAUAUCUAGAUGCACUUGCACAGGACCAGGACCCCUUUCCACUCAUGGUUCUUCAGUGACUUAUUAUGUGGCUCAGAAAGCUGUAUGACACCAUGGUUUUCAUCUUGCAUAUAUGCAAAGAUGCAUACACUCUUACAUAUCUGUUUUGCCUUGGCAAUUGGCAUGGUAUUUAGGCUGUUGUAUGCUCUCUUAAAAAAAAAAUGCACACAGAAUUGCUGCAGCUGUGCAUGAUGUGCUGUCAGUUGCAGGCACUGCCUAUAUGUCUGCAUGCAGAGUGCUGAGACUGAUCUCACUUGGUGCUAUGCUGUGCAUCUUGAGCUCUGCUCUUAACCACGCAGCAAUUAGUCCAGCUGUGCUGGUCAGGAUUUUGCCUUGUCUGCCUGCUCUCCAGAACUGAAUCCUGAUAGUCUGGGACUUGGACAGACCCAAUACACAUCCCUAACAUGGAGUCAUGAAAGAUGGUGUGGUUUGGUUCCACAUCCUCUUACCCUGCUAGCAGCUAGCACAGAUGCACAAACGAAGCCUGUGACUAAGCGUCACUUCGACUUGAAUUCAGCAAAGCGCUCAUUCAGGCUUAAUCUUAAGCACAUGGAUAAUCCACUGCUAUUGAGCGACUUAAAUACACCAUCUUUCGGGGAACUAAGUAUGUGCUUGGAUGCUGAAAUAAAAUCUUUUUUUCUCCAAAUAAAUUCAUGCCUAGCUAUAAGUACAAACAAAUGCUAACGUACAUGGCUAAUGAUGCUCUAGCCAGAAUUACUCAUCGUUGCAGCUGUACAUCCGAGUGUAAUUUUAAUUAGAGUUUAAUUAUCUUUUCAUUUAUUUUCUUCAGCUAGUAAAUUUAUACCUUGCUCUAAGUUUUCCUGUGAGUAUAAAUUAAAGCAACAUUAAUAACAUUAUAUUUGUCCUAAUUUGUGUAUCUGCAUUUAUUUAUCUGUUUUUUAUUAGUCAUAAUUAAGUAUGUUUGGAGAGAUCAGGCAACUAAUCUAUGUGUAGUAGAAAAUAAUGCUAGGCAAUAUCAUUAUAAUAAUAAGACUUUCUGGUUUACCGAAUGGGAAUAAAAAUAUCAUACAUUUGUGAUUAGGGUUCGUAAAAUAUUGAAAAUAUUAAUUUGAGGAAAAGCUGUCCAAAUAGCAAUUAAAAUAGAAAAAAAAAGACUAUUUGACACUGGAAGUUGUUCUAAAAUGAUCUUGAUUUUUUUUUUUUUUGUUCAAAAGUUGCCCAUUAUGGAAAUUAAUGUCAACUUAAUUUACAAUUAUUUAAUACUUCAUUAUGGAAAUUUAUCUCUUCUGGAAAUAUUUGUGGAGAAAAAGUUCAAUUCAAGCAUUUUUACCAACUUAGGGGAGUUCAAGUUCUGCAGUUUUUUAAUGGAAUGAGUUAUUUCUUAGAUGUAUUGCCACACUAAAUAAUUUAAGAAUUUGUAUUUCUGCUGACACAUCUCCUUCGGUCCAACUGCCUUAAAAUCAUUCAUCAAUGUAUGAGAAAAGUGGAAAACUAUUAUGAGCCUCAUUGUAUACAGCAGAAAACUCAGGUAUUGGAAAAACAAGGCACAAUGGGUUUAGAUAAAGUGACUGAUAAUUUGAAUGAUCAUGUUUUUGUAUGCUUUACUUAAAAUGUCUUAAGAAGUAGCUUAUCUGUACUGGAAAUGUAUAAACUGUUUCUUUUGUCUUUCUGUAGUCUGUGGAUCAUUUCAAAGCAUUGCUUAGCCAGCAUGCAGAUUAGGGAUGGGCGGCUCUAUUGUGUUACUUCUGUUUUGUAGUUCAGAGUUACUUCUCCUUGCAUGCCUGAGUCAGCUGGCCUCGCUUCUCUGAGGCAUCGAAAAGUUCACAAGACAU